GAUGAACGCUGGCGGCGUGCCUAAUACAUGCAAGUCGAGCGAACAGACGAGGAGCUUGCUCCUCUGACGUUAGCGGCGGACGGGUGAGUAACACGUGGAUAACCUACCUAUAAGACUGGGAUAACUUCGGGAAACCGGAGCUAAUACCGGAUAAUAUAUUGAACCGCAUGGUUCAAUAGUGAAAGACGGUUUUGCUGUCACUUAUAGAUGGAUCCGCGCCGCAUUAGCUAGUUGGUAAGGUAACGGCUUAUCAAGGCAACGAUGCGUAGCCGACCUGAGAGGGUGAUCGGCCACACUGGAACUGAGACACGGUCCAGACUCCUACGGGAGGCAGCAGUAGGGAAUCUUCCGCAAUGGGCGAAAGCCUGACGGAGCAACGCCGCGUGAGUGAUGAAGGUCUUCGGAUCGUAAAACUCUGUUAUUAGGGAAGAACAAAUGUGUAAGUAACUAUGCACGUCUUGACGGUACCUAAUCAGAAAGCCACGGCUAACUACGU
rnacentral:rRNA from 1 species